rnacentral:rRNA from 1 species
AUGCAAGUCGAGCGAACGGACGAGAAGCUUGCUUCUCUGAUGUUAGCGGCGGACGGGUGAGUAACACGUGGAUAACCUACCUAUAAGACUGGGAUAACUUCGGGAAACCGGAGCUAAUACCGGAUAAUAUUUUGAACCGCAUGGUUCAAAAGUGAAAGACGGUCUUGCUGUCACUUAUAGAUGGAUCCGCGCUGCAUUAGCUAGUUGGUAAGGUAACGGCUUACCAAGGCAACGAUGCAUAGCCGACCUGAGAGGGUGAUCGGCCACACUGGAACUGAGACACGGUCCAGACUCCUACGGGAGGCAGCAGUAGGGAAUCUUCCGCAAUGGGCGAAAGCCUGACGGAGCAACGCCGCGUGAGUGAUGAAGGUCUUCGGAUCGUAAAACUCUGUUAUUAGGGAAGAACAUAUGUGUAAGUAACUGUGCACAUCUUGACGGUACCUAAUCAGAAAGCCACGGCUAACUACGUGCCAGCAGCCGCGGUAAUACGUAGGUGGCAAGCGUUAUCCGGAAUUAUUGGGCGUAAAGCGCGCGUAGGCGGUUUUUUAAGUCUGAUGUGAAAGCCCACGGCUCAACCGUGGAGGGUCAUUGGAAACUGGAAAACUUGAGUGCAGAAGAGGAAAGUGGAAUUCCAUGUGUAGCGGUGAAAUGCGCAGAGAUAUGGAGGAACACCAGUGGCGAAGGCGACUUUCUGGUCUGUA